AAAUAUGGUUAUUAGUGCGUUUCAUGUUUCCAUGAGUGGGAAACUGGUUAUGGGUUCAAAAGGAGAAUCGCUUAGUGUAAAAGACAUAUGCACCUUAAAAGAAAAAUUAGAUACAAAAGAAACGAUCUGAAAAAGCAAAACUAUCAAAACUAAAGCCCUAAAAGAAACAAAAGAGUGAUGAGAGUAACAGGAAAAAAGGAGAUAACAACUCUGGGGAAGAAUUGUUUGCACUCUGCCACAGACACACAUACACCACACACACACGUCAUGUCAAGAGCAAAUGCUCCCAUUGUUUCUGCUCUCUAUUCUAAUGCAGAACUGAGCGCGAUGAGGGUAAAUCCGGAUCUGGACUCCUUUCCCACCAUCAGCAGAAGAACCGAAGGAGAAGAAGCGCCAACCAACAACCAGAACAGGGUGGAAGCUCUGACACCACAGCAGCUGGAGGACACAGACCACAGCAUGGACGCCUCACAGACUCCCACAACGUCUGCAGCCAUCACGUUCUGGGCUCAUCAGAUGAACCAGCUACUACAAGCAUGUGUGUCUGACACAGACACCUGCUUAUGACAAUCAGCAAAGGAAAACAAGGACAGAGCAACAGCAGAGAAGACGUGCUCUGACACAGACACUGGUUGAAACAACAGGAGAGGCUUCAGACGUGAUCGGCCCAAAAGAGCUGCAUUCGAGGAUCCAGGAAAGGUCUGUCAUCGAGGAACAACUGUCCCAUUGAAAGGCUUCACCCACUGGUGCUCACAUCAGACUGAUGGUUGGGGAAGGAGGAAGGUGACGGUUCCUUUUCACGUGAUGUACAAGACGGUACCGCAAAAACACACACACAUUCAUACACGCAAUGAAGAAACACGCUUACAGCUGAUACACGCUCAAAUUCAUGUUCAUGCUUAUCUGCUCGCAAUGAAGAAUCGCUUUUUGCUAAAAAAAAAAUCCCACAGAGUGAUUUUAAAAAUAUGACAAACAGCUAAAUGACAACUGCUGCAUGACUUUACAGUCUGAUGGGUUCAAACUAUUUUAACUUGCAACAAAUUCAGUAAUAAAAUCCUCUAUGUUUCUAAAAGGGUUUGUGCACAAUAUAGGUUUGUCUGGCCAGACUAGAAGACUAUAGGAAACAAAACAGACUAUAGAGAAAACAAAACAGACGGUAGAAAAAGAAACAAAAAAACAGACUAUAGGAAGACUGAGACUGACUGAAACAGACUAUUAAUGACUAUUAAAGGGAAGACGACUAUUAGAGAGAAGUAAUAAUAAUUACUGUACGUACCAGACUAUUAAAGAAAAACUUAUUCUUUCACUGUCUUGUGCAACAUCUGACAGCAAGACACCGUAACAUUCAUUUUUGCUUUCAAACUUAUGCCCAGUUUAAAUUUUAGGAAGAGAUCUUGUGUAGUUUAGGUAUUUGAUUGAUUUCCACUCCAGACGGAGUGCAGGUUACGUCUACAGACAUUCUAAAUAAUCCCUCUUUUGUUGGUGUUAACUUCAGCUCAGCUGUGCUCUUAUCAUUGGCUGCUGAGGGGGGGCUGUAACUGAGGCCCUCACACAGGCUGCAUCACAGCUUGUUUAUGAUUUCACACACACACACUGACAAACUGGCCUCAACUUCCCUCUUUUGGGAUGAACACAGGUCUGCGCUUGCGAUUUCUUUUACUAACGAACAAAAAAGAUUUUUGAUGUUUAUUCUACAGCUCCACACGUCCCUCUGUGAAAACAUGAUGGAGACAGAUGCAGGACGUGGGUCCUUUCGUGAACAGAUGUGAACGGGGUGGAGACUGGUGAACGACUUCCGACCCCAUAGGACGCUCUGACCCAACACUCAGCCUUACAGGAAG